CAAAAGAGUGGGAAGAGCUUUGAGUAGAGGUGACAAACCUACCGAGCCCAGUUAUAGCUGGUUGCCUGUGAAAUGAAUAGGAGUUCAGCCCUUUAAGUCUUUCCCCCCUCACCCAUGCUUACGCUAAAAUUGAUUAAGGAAACUAAAGGCGUUAAUCAAAAGGGGUACAGCCCUUUUGAUAGAAGAAACAACUUUAACAGGUGACCCAAGAUCAUAUUACUCAAGGAUUUCAAAUUAAGUGGGCCUAAAAGCAGCCAUCUUAUCAGAAAGCGUUAAAGCUCAAAUUAGCCUAUAUCCUCAUAUACUGAUAUUACAUCUCCCUCCCUGCCCCUUACCAGGCUGUCUUAUGCCCCCAUAAGAACAAUUAUGCUAAAAUGAGUAAUAAGAAGAAUUUAAUUCUUCUCCUAGCACAUGUGUAAGUCGGAACGGACCUCCCACCGACUAUUAAUCGACCCCAAACCCAGAGGGUAAUAGGUCGUAUAAACAAGAAAAACACCUAUUUUGUAUCGUUAACCCCACACAGGUGUGCCUAAAGGAAAGACUAAAAGAGAAGGAAGGAACUCGGCAAACACAAGCCUCGCCUGUUUACCAAAAACAUCGCCUCUUGCUCCAAAAAUAUAAGAGGUCCCGCCUGCCCUGUGACUAUAAGUUUAACGGCCGCGGUAUUUUAACCGUGCGAAGGUAGCGUAAUCACUUGUCUUUUAAAUGAAGACCUGUAUGAAUGGCAUCACGAGGGCUUAGCUGUCUCCCAUCUCCAGUCAAUGAAAUUGACCUCCCCGUGCAGAGGCGGGGAUGAUUACAUAAGACGAGAAGACCCUAUGGAGCUUUAGACCUAAAGUAAGUCACGUUUAACAUGCUGUGAUAACAGUAAAAACUUAGUGAUAUUUACUGAAGUGUCUUUGGUUGGGGCGACCGCGGGGUAAAACACAACCCCCAUGUGGACCGGGGAUAUUAUCCCUAAUACUCAGAGCCUCUACUCCAAGUAACAGAAAUUCUGACUUUUCUGAUCCGGUAUAACCGAUCAACGAACCGAGUUACCCUAGGGAUAACAGCGCAAUCCCCUCUCAGAGCCCAUAUCGACGAGGGGGUUU
rnacentral:rRNA from 1 species